rnacentral:rRNA from 1 species
GUCGCUAAUACCGCAUGAAGUGCCGGGUGGGCAUCCACCUGGCACCAAAGGAGCAAUCCGCCUUUAGAUGAGCUCGCGUCCCAUUAGCUAGUUGGUGAGGUAACGGCCCACCAAGGCGACGAUGGGUAGCCGGACUGAGAGGUUGAACGGCCACAUUGGGACUGAGACACGGCCCAG